CCCGACCUUGAGAGCAUGAAUGGCUCUCCUUUGAUCUUCUCUUCCAAUACUCCAUGCGUACGCCCACCACGAAGCAGGAAUCCUGCUGAUCUUCUUCACUCUCUCAGGAAGCAUCAGCAAGCUGUUCUUGUUGUUGCUGCUGGGAUCUACAGCACAAGCCAUUCUUGCAGCCUGGGGCUGAAGAUGAAUGCUCAGGUUCCUUGAAAGAUGGCAAUGCUACCAACCAUAAGUGUAGGUGUCCCAAAUAUCAGGAAGGGAGAGGACGCCACCUUCCUCCCGUUUGUUGAGCAACUCGCCGAAUCACAGGACGAUACGCACUUCUCCUUUUCCUGACGCUGAUACGUGGUGAUGGCGGCCUUGACUUUGCACUGGACCAUCGGCUGAAUGAGUUCACGUGAAGAGGAAGUUGGGAAAGGCCCCGGCCUCGGCAAGCUGCUCGUGUGCGCGCCUUGAUUGGACGACAAUGGCCGGCUCGUCCGGUCCCGGUCCGGCGGUGGUGGAGAGCGACAUGUGCGGAUGGCCGCUUGAGGUUGUAGUGUAGGGCGAAGGUCACGGUUGUCGCCGGGUUCAGAUUGGUCGUGCGGCCGCGUUGCCAGCUGCGGUGAUGCUCUGCCGUCCGGUGGUCGACACCUUGCCAGGCGAGGGCACACCUGUGAACUGGUUGGUGGCCUUGUGUCAAACCCGCACUUGAAAUGCACGGCUGGUGCUGGACUUUGGGUUCGUUCGCAUUGAUCACAACUAAUUUCGGGAUAAUUUUGUUUUUUUGUCGCUAAGCCUUUGUAUCAUUGCGUGAUUUCUAAAACAAAACUUCUGUUUUUUUACUAGUGAUAGCAACAACUA